CAUGCUAGUUGUACGUCUAACGUAGCGAAAAGCUCCGUAACACGUGGCCAAACUACCCUGUGGAGGACGAUAACCUCGGGAAACUGAGGCUAAUAGUCCAUACGACACUCACGCUGGAAUGCAGAGUGGCAGAAAUGCUCCGGCGCCACAGGAUGUGGCUGCGGCCGAUUAGGUAGACGGUGGGGUAACGGCCCACCGUGCCGAUAAUCGGUACGGGUUGUGAGAGCAAGAGCCCGGAGACGGAAUCUGAGACAAGAUUCCGGGCCCUACGGGGCGCAGCAGGCGCGAAACCUUUACACUGCACGCCAGUGCGAUAAGGGGACCCCGAGUGCGAGGGCAUACUAGCCCUCGCUUUUCUGAACCGUAGGGAGGUUCAGGAACAAGAGCUGGGCAAGACCGGUGCCAGCCGCCGCGGUAAUACCGGCAGCUCGAGUGAUGACCGCUGUUAUUGGGCCUAAAGCGUCCGUAGCUGGCCGUGCAAGUCCGUCGGGAAAUCCACUAGCUCAACUAGUGGGCGUCCGGCGGAAACUGCAUGGCUUGGGACCGGAAGGCUCGAGGGGUACGUCCGGGGUAGGAGUGAAAUCCCGUAAUCCUGGACGGACCACCGAUGGCGAAAGCACCUCGAGAAGACGGAUCCGACAGUGAGGGACGAAAGCUGGGGUCUCGAACCGGAUUAGAUACCCGGGUAGUCCCAGCCGUAAACGAUGCCAGUUAGGUGUGGCGCAGGCUACGAGCCUGCGCUGUGCCGUAGGGAAGCCGAGAAACUGGCCGCCUGGGAAGUACGUCCGCAAGGAUGAAACUUAAAGGAAUUGGCGGGGGAGCACUACAACCGGAGGAGCCUGCGGUUUAAUUGGAUUCAACGCCGGGA
rnacentral:rRNA from 1 species